rnacentral:tRNA from 1 species
GGGUGAUUAGCUCAGCUGGGAGAGCACCUCCCUUACAAGGAGGUGGGUCGGCGGUUCGAUCCCGUCAUCACCCACCA